CUUAAACACUAUGCUAAACUCUUGUGGAUCUUUAUGUGCGAAAUAAUAUCUUUUCAUGACACAUGAAACAAAACUACAUGGGAGAAGUACCAGAUGAUAAAGGAGAUAUUAAAAUAGAAUUGUUAUAUUUCACUCCAACCUUGUUUGCCUACAGUAAAUUCAGAUUGAACUUAUCAGAUCUGUGUUUUGCUUGUGAGGGUAGAAGAGCCCUCAAUCCAAGAAGUCUUCUUAUGCUCCAUCCUGACACCUGCUGA
rnacentral:lncRNA from 13 species